AGCUUCUUUCCUACUCCUCCACCCAACAUGUUCACGACGCUCCAGCCUCCGCAUGGACUUCUUCAGUUUUGCCGAGUAAUGGUGGUCGUGAUCACUCUUUUCAGUUCUGCUACUUUGGUUGUCUCAUAUCAGUUACAUCCAGACGAAGUGACGGCGUUAAGACAAAUUGGCAAGACACUGACGCCGGGUGGGCGAUGCUUGCAACCAACCAGGAACUCUGCACGAUAUGAAUCUGUUGAAACAAGAUCCAAAAGCCAAUAGCACCAUCGUAUGCAGUUGCACCCUCAUCCUCAAUAAUGAUAGUUAUUGUCAUAUCACGUCAUUAUCUCUCAAAACGCUCAAUCUUCAAGGCAAGCUCCCGUCUGAAAUGGUCAACCUUGCAUAUUUUGAAUUUCUUGACCCAACUCGCAACUACAUUUCUGGCAAUAUUCCAGAGGAAUGGGCUUCAAUGAAACAUUUGACAAACCUCUCACUUACAUCCAAUCACUUGUCAGGAAAUAUUCCUUGGUACUUGGGAAGUUUUCCUAGCCUGACUUACUUUUAAUCAAAUACAAAUAAAUGAAGGUCCCUUGAAGCAAAUCAGUUUUCUGGUACUAUUCCUUCUCAGCUUGGUGAUCUUGUCAACUUAACAGCCCUGAUACUUUCCUCCAAUCAGUUGGAGGGAAACUUGCCAAAUACUCUCGCUAAGUAAUCAAUUCCUUUCUUCUUUAAACACAGUUUUUGAUAAUGCAAUGGCAUCUGGUUUCCUUAAUUCGGUUUUGCAAUGUGCAGUCGUGCAAGUGAUAAUAAUCUUAGUGGCAGAAUACCUGAUUUCAUUAGGAACUGGAGUAAUCUUGAUAUACUUGAAUUAUACGCUAGUGGACUAGAAGGGCCCAUACCUCCUGCCAUUCUUUCUUUAGAGAAGUUGACAGACUUGAGGAUCACUGAUAUGUCUGGACCAGAGUCUAAUUUACCCAACAUCCCCCCCAUAGUGAAAUAUUUGGUUUUGCGAAACAUCAAUUUAACUGGAGUGAUCCCAGGAGAUGUGUGGACAGGUUCUCUGAAAAUGCUGUGAGUCUUAACACCUUCACUCAUCACCUUAUAUGUGCUGUAAUGUGAUAGAAGUUAAAAACAUGAAUAUAUUUUAAUAACACCGCAAAAUUUGCCUCACUACCGGGUUAUGAUCUCCAUGUACUGUAUGGGAAGCAAAAUUUCUACGGAAAUCCUCUCAUAACUUGCUCAAGGGUAAGAAACAAGCAGAAAUCUAUUCGUCGGGAUAUGUUACUGAUGGGUUUGAAAUUCUAAUACACUAACCAUCUACUACGAGACAUAUGGCAUUAAUUCUCAUAGCAGGAAGUUUGAGAGAGCUCCAUAUGACUAUACUCUCUAUCCUAACCAAAUGCUCUUCUGGACUACUGCCAGCCACCAAGACCAACAGUCCUGUGAUCAUUUUUUCCCCCUUUUGAUAAUUGCCUGUGAAUCAUAUUUACUACACUGAAAAGGGCUUAAUUCAUGAAACAUGUUUCUCAGACCAACACUCGUAUAUAAAUAUAUAGUUUGUAGAAGCACAAUCCCGAUACCCUUUGCACCUCUUAAAUCCCAUUCUGUUUUUUUAAGAAACCACCAUGAAAAUUCUCACAGGUGGU